AGCGAACGCUGGCGGCAGGCCUAACACAUGCAAGUCGAACGAAGCCUUCGGGCUUAGUGGCGGACGGGUGAGUAACACGUGGGAACGUACCUUUUGGUUCGGAACAACUCAGGGAAACUUGAGCUAAUACCGGAUGAGCCCUUAGGGGGAAAGAUUUAUCGCCGAAAGAGCGGCCCGCGUUAGAUUAGCUAGUUGGUGAGGUAAAGGCUCACCAAGGCAACGAUCUAUAGCUGGUCUGAGAGGAUGAUCAGCCACACUGGGACUGAGAAACGGCCCAGACUCCUACGAGAGGCAGCAGUGGGGAAUCUUGCGCAAUGGGCGAAAGCCUGACGCAGCUAUGCCGCGUGAAUGAUGAAGGUCUUAGGAUUGUAAAAUUCUUUUACCAGGGACGAUAAUGACGGUACCUGGAGAAAAAGCCCCGGCUAACUUCGUGCCAGCCGCCGCAGUAAAAC
rnacentral:rRNA from 1 species